CUUGGGUAGCAAUAAGGAUUAGAUACCCUAGUAGUCCAAGCAGAAAAUGAUGAAUGUCAUAGACUAGAAAAUAUAUUUAGUCUAUAAAUGAAAGUGUAAGCAUUCCACCUCAAGAGUAAUAUGGCAACAUAUAAACUGAAAUCAUUAGACCGUUUCUGAAACCAGUAGUGAAGUAUGUUAUUUAAUUCGAUAACCCGCGAAAAACCUUACCACAGUUUGAAUAACAAUAAAAUUGUUACAAGCGCUGCACGGCUGUCUUUAGUUAAUGUCGUGAGAUUUGGUUAACUCCUCAAA
rnacentral:rRNA from 1 species